CAGGUUUUCUGGAUAGAGGCCUCAGCUUGGAACUUCAGAGGUUGAAAGUACAGCUCAAAUGCCUGAGAUGGAGGAUUCUUCCUUCCCUCAAAAUGGAGCCCAGAGGAGAGAGGCUGGCUACCAUGCAUCUAACUGCAGGACACCAGGUCCCACAUGCUGCAAACUACUGAGCCCAUGCGCUCUGGAACCUGUGUGCCACAACUACAGA